GUGCUCACUUCAGCAGCAUAUAUACUAAAAUUGGAAUGACACAGAGAAAACUAGCAUGACCCCUGCACAAGGAUGACAUGCAAAUUAAUGAAGCAUUCCAUAUUAAA
rnacentral:snRNA from 1 species